AGGCUAAACUUCAGUCCUAAACCGCCCUAAAUUCGUCCCAAGAACUUUCGAACACUCACACGAACUCACGAGGAAAUAGUAAGAAAGACACAAGAUUUUGGGAGGCCCGAAGAGCCAAUUUUCAGAUUAUAUUUCUUGAAUAUUUUGAGUGAAUGAUCUGCCCAAGAGGGCCUUUACAAGCUAUAUAUAAUGCCCCUUAGUCAAGGGAUACAAUUAAUGCUAGUCAACAUUAC
rnacentral:lncRNA from 1 species